GAGUGGAGCCCUAGUCGAUUGGCAACCCGCCGCCAAAGGUGGUGGUUCAUUUUGACAAGCGCAGGGACUGGUCUUUAAGUUUAACCCUAGUACCUUCCCCAAAUCAGAAUGGCACUAAACCCAAUGGUGCGGGCAUUGCAGCGGCCAACCACCAUCAAUACUCCAUCUAUGUUCUUCAUCCUAUCAUUUUGGAUCUGUGUGGAUGUUAGAGGUGAUGGUGAAACUCUUAGCCAAGUUGUAUCGUCUCAGGGGAAGAAAUGUUUAUGUUUAGUUUUCAUCUCAUCAAGAGCUAACCACAAUGUAGCAAAAUACUCAAGGACGAGUAGACUAGGAGGUUGACAUAUUUUAAAGAAGGGAUCUUUUUGGAGCUCAGAGCAUUGUCAUUAACAAGCCUCUUUCCCAGUCAGAAUGGGUUCAAUUGGGUUCGGGUCAAAACGGGUCGCAACCAAAAUAAGUUUGGGUCAAGAUGGAUUCUAGCAAAAAUAGGUACGGGUCAAAAUGGAUCAACUUUGACUAUAUUAAACUACCAUAAGAGAAUCCCUUAUGUAUUAACGCUACGUGUCUACGUCAGCCAGGAGGUACUGAAUGCGGCUACUAUGUGAUGAAAUUCAUGAAGGAGAUAGCUUACGAAGGAGUUGAAAUACUUGAUAAUGAUAAUGGAAAGGAGUAGAAGAAUACUCGGCUGCGGAUAUGGAUGACAUUCAUGAAGAUUGGUUGACUUAUGCGAUUAACCUUAUUUUUAAGUUAUAAAUCUUAUUUUAGGUGUUGAUAAUGUAUUGACAAACAAUUCUUUUUUUGUUAAUGUAAAAAUAUUUGUAGUAUACUUGGCAAAUGAUUAUGUAAUGGAUUGUUUUGGUAUAUAUAUGUGUGUGUAUUUGUU
rnacentral:lncRNA from 1 species